ensembl:snRNA U6 U6 spliceosomal RNA
UUGGAAAAAAAAUAAAAUUGGAACGAUACAGAGAAGAUUAGCAUGGUCUCUGCACAAGGAUAACAUGCAGAUUUGUGAAGCAUUCCAUAUUUUU